UUAGAAUUCACCUUUACUUGCCUGAAACAUGGAGAGAAAUACACAACAAAAAAUGAGGAGAGGUGCCUCUAAUACAUGCCAGAGGCCAACGCAUGAAGAUCUGCGCAAUUUGCUGAAGAAACUUCAGAAAAUGAUGGAUCGACUUGGGUAUGGACCAUCUAGAGAGAGAUUCAGAGGACGGCCUGCAAGAUAUCAGGCAGCUAUUGCAUCUACAUCUUCUCAAAGAGGAAUGUUAAGAGUACGCACAAAUUAUGAACAAAAUGAGGUUCCUGUUUUUAAUACCUAUGAAGAAUACCAUAAGAUGGUUCUCCAGUCAUUUGAAAAUAUUUCAAUUGUAAUGAACACAGAUGGAAAACUUAUUUUUGUAUCCCAGAAUGUGUCACCUCUUCUUGGCCACCGUCCAGAAGAUAUUAUGGGAAAGAACCUACUGAAUAUUGUUCUUGAUGAACAAAAGGAUGAAGUGUCUGAGAAGAUUAUUCUUAAUCUUCCAUUGGCAAAUAAAGUGGGAAGUCUAAUAGAAUUUUGCUGUUACAUAAGAAAAGGAAAUGUAUGUCCGAGUGCCCUGGACAGAUAUCGUUAUAGGGCCAUGUACCAAGGGAGAGACACAUAUGAGUAUGUGAAAUUCAUCUUGUACCUACAGGAUUCUUAUGAUGAGUCAUUUGUAUUUUUUGGACACUAUGGUCCUAAUAGCCGAAACAUUUGGUCAUCUGCUCCAAGGCUGUUAUGGGAGCAACAGUACUACCUUGUGGGAAACAUUUCCGUUCUUCGUACACCGAAUGAGUCAGUACAACCUGUUAAGGUUCAAACAAAUGUUAUAGUUAUUGAAUCGGAUGAUGACAAUACUAUUCAACCCCGCAGGUAAGAAAUAUCAUGGCUGUAAGUAAUGCAGAGCUGAAAUAUGGUUUUUUGCUAAAUAAAGCCAAAAUAA
rnacentral:lncRNA from 1 species